rnacentral:rRNA from 1 species
UACGUAGGUGGCAAGCGUUGUCCGGAUUUACUGGGCGUAAAGAGCGCGCAGGCGGUCGUUCAAGUCGCGUGUGAAAGCCCCCGGCUCAACUGGGGAGGGUCACGCGAUACUGAUCGACUCGAAGGCAGGAGAGGGUAGUGGAAUUCCCAGUGUAGUGGUGAAAUGCGUAGAUAUCGGGAGGAACACCAGUGGCGAAGGCGACUACCUGGCCUGUUUCUUGACGCUGAGGCGCGAAAGCUAGGGAGCGAACAGG